UUUCCAUUUUACAAAUUUGCGGAAAUAUCUGAAAUUACAUCUGUUUUUGAUUUCAAAGCAAUUCUAUCUAAAUAUUGAUAAGAAUUUGUCGACGAUUCUCUGAGGACUCGUUUUACUACUUAUUACAUGUUCAAUCAUGAGUGUUGACUUUCGCAUCAAUGUUUUGAUUUCCAAACCAAUUGAACUUGAAUAAUUUUCAUGAAUGGAAGCAAUUUUACUUAAGGCAGUCAUAUGAUAAAAAGAACUAUUGCAAAAGUUGCAGAUAACAGGACUGUCGGUCUGUUGCUAGACCUUUAUAAUACCCAUUUAUCACGGCAGUGAUGAAUCUAUUAUUCACUACUGUCAGAGGCUUUCUUGAUUUAGCUAUAUUGUAUUGUAUUGUUACAAAUAAUCAGUUUUUAUUAUUUUAUCAUAUAUAACACAGUAUGCACAGGAUAUAUAUUGAGAAUUCGUUACAAAAUAAAGGUAAUACAACUAAACAAAUUCUUGUGAAAUUGCACAAAGACUUGUCAUACCACUCGUUCUACCGACGCUCAAGUAAAUUCUGUGACAAAUAUCCAAACUAGCGAAGUAAACUUUCACUCACAAAAACAUACAAGCUUCAAUGUGUCUCCAUUUAGUUUUUAUAAUUGUAAUAUUUCCACUAUAAACAUAUAUAAUUAUAAGUGUAAAAAUGGUGAUUUAGAAAUAAAAGUUGUAACCUGUUUUCUCCACUUUAGAAAAAUAUAGGUCGAAGAAGUGUUGUAACUAACUCUUACAUCUGUAUUAUUAAUCACCUUCAUCAAUGUACUUGUUGGUUAAAUAACUAUUAUCCACGACUUUUGUAUAAUGUCCCUAUUAUAAGUCUGCUUGCUCGAUCUUAGUAAUACCCAUUAAUCACUGCUGUCAGAUGCUUUCUUGAUUUAGCUAGAUUAUAUUGUUUUGUUCCAAAAAAUCGGUUUUUAUAAUUUUAUCGUAUAAAACACUACCAAACUUUUUUUGAAUUUAGUUCUGAACACUUGAAAAAGUAAAUUUUCUUGGACCAGAUUCGAACCCAGUCCAGUUUGAAACCGCGGAGCAUUAACAUUGAGCUGUAAGCCACAUGAAUGUGUUUGUCGUACAUCUGUUUCUUAAACUACCAUGGUUUUUGAAACAAUUUAUAAAUUGAAGGAGGUUUUGAAACAAAAUAAAUUUGACUCUAACCUGUUAACAUUAUUGUGUGUUAAAAUUUCUGUAUUUUAAUAUUUUAUUUUAAAUUAUGUUGAGAAACCAACAAAAAAUGUAAAUAAAAAAUGAAAGUGACUCUUUUUUUAACACCGCCAAAAAUUAGAUAACCUGCUGAAGUUGCUUCAUGAAAUUUAUUAUCGAAAAAGUCAAGGAAAGUAUAUAAUGUGGCAUGUGAAUUUUGCACUGGCAACAGGGACUAUUAAUCUAAUAUAUAAAAUUCUCGUGUCGCGGUGUUUGUGGUUAAACUCCUCCGAAACGGCUUUCCCGAUUCUCAUGAAAUUUUGUGUGCAUAUUGGGUAGGUCUGGGAAUCGGACAUCUAUUUUUCAUCCCCCUAAAUGUUAAGGGUAAUCCACCCCUAAAUUUUUUUAUAUUAUUUUUUAUAAUAUUAAUAACUGAUAAAGACAGUUUUAACUAUUAUUUAAGUAUCUCAUAUAAAUAAACACGUGUUGUGAUCUCCCGCCAACAACGGCCAUUACCGUACCUGUAUAUAUUGUACUUAACGCUUUUUGAAAAUAGUUUUAAUUCAAAACGAAAGCGUGUACGAGUUUAAUAAAUAUACCUUUUUCAUUAUUGUGAAAGGUAAGUCAAAUAAUAAACAAAUGAAUACAAUAUAAUAAUAAUAAUGAUAAUAAUAAUAAUUUAUUACCAGAAAUAAAUAAUAGUUUAAAAAAACUAAAAAAACACGCUUUAAAGAAAAUCCAACUCAAAAAUAGAAAAUAAAUUUUAAUAAAUUUCAGUACAGUCAGCAAUGCCAAAAAGACGUAAAGGGGCCAAUUUGAGUCGUAGUACAACCAAUUCAACAGUCAUUCGAGAUAUACGAGCACGAAGGUCUGGCGAACAAAUCCAACAAAAUAAUACAGAUGUGCCUGCAAGCAUGGCGCAGUUACGUGAAUCACUAUCGCAAGAGACGCGAGAUGAACAAAAUCAACAAAGACAAUUAGAACGAAGAGAAACGCGCAGAUUCAUAGUAAACAGACGUGGAGGCAUUGACCAACAACGCCAACAAGUUCUUCGAGCAUUUACAUCAGAUUCAUUUCUUCGACUAGCAUUCCAAUAUGAGCCUGAUGUUGAAUAUUAUAUUAUAUUAAAUUAUAUUAUAUUGCUCAUUCCAAAGUGGUUAUUGGUUCUUUGGACAAGGAAUGCCCGCAUUGUCAUGCACUUAAAUUUAAAAAUGAGCCAGUUGGGAUGUGUUGCUCAUCAAGAAAAGUACAACUAACCGAAAUUGAAACACCACCUGAACCAUUACACGGUUUACUUAUCGGUACAGGUCCAGAUUCUAGCCUUUUCCUAAAGUCAAUUCGCACAUUCAAUUCAUGUUUUCAAAUGACGUCGUUUGGAGCAACAGAAAUAGUUAACAAUAUUGCUACAAACGGUCAACAAUUUAAUUCCACGUUCAAAAUCAAAGGCAAAAUUUAUCACAAAGUGGGCUCAUUGCUGCCUAUACCAAACGAAUCUCAUAAAUUUUUACAAAUUUACUUUAUGGGUGGCGAAGACUCCGAACGUGCACUCGCCAAUCACGUGGAUGCACGUUGCGAUUAUUACCAUUUCAAUUCACCUUUUGCCAGGCGUAUCGUCGCCGACCUGGACGCUCUGUUAAAUGAGCAUAAUGAAUUAUUGAAAUUAUUCAAAUCACACAUGCACAAACUACAAAGUGACAAUCGUGCUAUUGUCAUCAAUCCUGAUAGAACACCAGCUGGAGAGCAUGUACGUAGAUUCAACGCACCUGUUGUUGACGACGUUGCUGGAAUCAUGGUUGGUGACCGUACAGCUACGCGACAAAUCGUGAUUCGAUGAAGAAAUAAUAAUUUUCAAUUCAUUAGUGAUACCCACCGUUCUUACGACGCUCUCCAAUAUCCACUAAUUUUCUGGAAGGGACAAGACGGAUAUUGCGUAAACAUUAAACAACGAGAUCCCGUAACAGGAGCCGAAACAAAUAAGAACGUUAGCUCGAAGGAUUUUUAUUCAUAUCGUUUGAAGAUUAGAAGUGGCCGAGACAAUAUCAUUUUACGAUGUCGUGAGCUAAGCCAACAAUUUAUGGUUGACAUGUAUGUGAAGAUAGAGAGUGAACGACUACCAUACUUGCGAUAUAAUCAACAGAAGCUGCGUGCGGAAGAAUAUAUUCACCUGCGAGAUGCUAUUGCGAAAAACGCUGACACUGCCGAAAUUGCAACUCUGUUAUCUUACCAUCAUCGUAUUUAGGUAGUCCACGUCACAUGCAAGAGUACAUACAGGAUGCUAUGACUUUCGUGCUUGAAUAGGGGCGACCGUGUAUUUAUUACUUUUACAUGUAAUCCAAAAUGGCAGGAAAUUACAGCAUUACUAUUACCAGGACAAAAUGCAAUACAUCGUCAUGACAUUACAGCACGUGUGUUUAAACAAAAAUUAAAGUCUUUAAUCAGCUUUAUUACGAAGUUGCAUGUAUUUGGUCCCACACGUUGUUGGAUGUAUUCAGUUGAGUGGCAAAAGCGUGGAUUACCUCAUGCUCUCAUUUUAAUUUGGUUUGUCGACAAAAUACGUGCUGAAGACAUCGAUAGUUUAAUUUCUGCAAAUAUUCCAGAUCCAUCUACUGAUCAAUUACUAUUUGAUAUUGUUACUACAAACAUGAUUCAUGGUCCGUGCGGAAUUCUGAAUCGUUCAUCACUUUGCACGAUAGACGGAAAAAAUGUACUAAGCGUUUUCCUAAAGAUUUCAUAAACGAUACGGUAACACAUAUUGACGGAUAUCCAAUAUAUCGUCGAAGCAGUACUGAAAAUGGCGGACAAUCGUUUACUAAAACUCUCAGUAACACAGAGAUCGACAUUGACAAUCGUUGUGGUACCAUAUUCACCUCUGCUCAGCAAAACAUUCAAUGAUCAUAUUAAUGUUGAGUCAUGCAGUUCGGUGAAGAGUAUCAAAUAUAUUUGCAAAUCUGUAUGUUAAUAAACGAAGUGAUAUGGCUGUAUUUGGAAUUGAAAAUACUAAUAUCAAUGCUCCUCUGUUGAAUGAAAAUGAUGAAAUUACGAAUUACCAAAUUGGCCAGUAUAUCAGUUCCAAUGAAGCUGUCUGGCGUAUUUUUGGUUUCCAAAUUCAUGAAAGAGAUCCAGCAGUUAUCCAUUUAGCUGUCCAUCUUGAAAACGGCCAGCGCCACGCUCACUGAAUUUUUUGUUUAUUUAAAUCAAAUAAUUUGGGACGUGUAUAUUCAGUCAAUCCAAGGCAGACUGAGUGUUUUUAUCUGCGACUGCUGUUGGUUAAUGUCACCGGACCAUUGUCAUUUCAAGAUAUACGCAAGGUAGAUGUACAACAGUAUCCAACGUAUAAAGAUGCAUGCCUUGCACUAGGUUUACUAGAAGAUGACAAUCAAUGGGACAGUAUGCUUGCUGAAGCAGCAUUAAACUGCACAGGAACACAAAUUCAUCUACUAUUUGCUAUAGUAUUGACUACAUGUUUCCUACAUGUGGGAUAAUCACAAAGAUUCAAUGACUGAUGACAUUUUGUAUCGAUAUCGUACAAGGUACAACGAUGUAACGAUAUCAUUCACUGAUGCAAUGUACAAUGAAUCAUUGAUUGCUAUCGAGGAUCUUUGCAUUGCUAUUGCGAAUUCACCAAUCAGUCAUUUCGGUAUGAGUUCACCGAAUCGAAGUGCAUCUGAUUUACUCAACACAGAUAUGAAUCGUGAACUGCAUUACAAUACUGGGGAAAUGGCAGGCAUUGUUAAUCGCAAUGUUCCAUUACUAAAUUCCAUUACAAACAAACACACUUCCACGACCAAUUCUUCGAAGCGGAAACUGUUCAUUUAAGUAUUGACGAACUUGUAAAGAAUAAUGUGGUUUCCCGUCGUGCGAAAACCACAUAUUUUUUUCUUAAAGCUAGAGGGAUAUCCUCUACUAAUUCUUGUAAAUGUUCUUGAAGAAAAUCUAAAUAAAGAGGUCCAUUUAAAUUGGUUGGCAGUUCAAAAGGACCUAUUAAAUACCCACAUAUUACACCACACCAAAUGUUAACCUUAAACUCGUGCUGAAAAUGUGUUUCCCUCAUAGCAUGUGGAUUUUCAGAAUCCCACAAAUGAUUAUUUUUAUUAUUAAAUAUUCCUCGACUGGUAAAUGUUGCCUCAUCAGUAAAAAGAAUUGUAUCCAGAAAAUCCGGGUUAACAUUUUUUUUAUCUUGCAAAAAAUGGGCAAAUUGUACACGCUUAGGUAAAUCUUGAGCUAAUAAAUUCUGAACAGGAGUGUAAUGAUAUGGAUGCAAUUUUUCCCUCUUCAGUAUUCUAAAAGUAGAUGAUACUGCUUAUACCUGUUUGCAGACUUAAUCGGCUAGUACUGAUAUCUGGAUUCUCCGUAACACAAAUUAAAAUUUCAUCUUCUUCAUCGGCAGUGAUUUUUUUUGUAGCACCGUGCUCAGUUUUAGAGCGUAAAGACCCCGUUCCACCUAAGCGGUUGUAAAAAUUUUGAUACAGUUUGUAAUUGGGUUGCCUUCGAUUUGGGUAUAAUUGUGAAUAUCUUCGAGCCGCAGCUGGACCACUAUAAUUUGACUGAGCAAACACACAAAUCAUAUUUGAUAAAUAACUAUUACACUUGUUAAUUACUAAAUUGUUAAUAAAUGGUAUAUUAAUGUAUUACUUAUUCUUAUUAUUAUCCAAUUUUUGCUUCUAAACAAACUGUCUAAUAGCGAUACAAGCCUACUUGAAAAAAGAAAACGAAAAA